CCGGGUGUAGCGCAGAUGGUAGCGCGCAUGGUUCGGGACCAUGAGGCCGUGGGUUCAAAUCCCGCCACUCGGACCA
rnacentral:tRNA from 1 species